AUGAGUAUUCAGACCUUCAGCUACUUCAGUCCUUGUUCGAUCUUCUCGAAUAAAGCUGUCCAUCCUAGUUGCUUAGUUUGUCAAGAAAUCCCAGGUAGGUUAGCAAGUUUGUUCAUACAGUUUUCAGUUUAUCUGCAUUUUGUCAUCUUACUAAUUUGGCCUUCAUAUUUAUUGCUUCACUUCAUUUUUUACAGAUCAGAUGCACGCUGGAAAUGGACCAAAUGGGGCGUCAGUGGUGUUGAAUCCCAUCACAACAGAUACAUGCUUUUGACGCUCAAAGAUACAACUCACGGAGGAAGAUCAUUUUUUGUGGGUCUGCGCUAA
rnacentral:rRNA from 1 species